rnacentral:rRNA from 1 species
AAUCAACGCUGGCGGCGUGCCUCAGACAUGCAAGUCGAACGAUUAAAGCUCUCUUCGGAGAGUGUAUAGAGUGGCGCACGGGUGAGUAACACGUAAGUAAUCUACCUUCGAGUGGGGAAUAACGUCCGGAAAUGGACGCUAAUACCGCAUAAUGCAGCGGCAUCGCAAGAUGACAGUUGUUAAAGACUUAUCGCUUGAAGAGGAGCUUGCGGCAGAUUAGCUAGUUGGUAAGGUAAUGGCUUACCAAGGCUACGAUCUGUAACCGGUCUAAGAGGACGGUCGGUCACACUGACACUGAAUAACGGGUCAGACUCCUACGGGAGGCAGCAGUCGGGAAUUUUGGGCAAUGGGCGAAAGCCUGACCCAGCAACGCCGCGUGAAGGAUGAAGUAUUUC